CUCCCUCACGUCUUCAGGGAGGAGGCUUUGGUGGUUAGAGAGGCAGGAGACACCUCUGGCAUCGGGCCAGCUGGGAUUCCCCCUUGCUUUCCGGGGUCACCGGGUUCCUGGGUUUCUGCCAGCUGCGUUGGGGACUCAGGGGCUGAGGUACUGAGCACUCCCAGCCAUCUUGAUCCGGUGUGUGGAAGAUCUCUUCCCGCUCUGCUUCUAGGAUCCAACAUCCAGGAGUUGGGGGCCUCCUACCCCCACCCCAUCUUCUAGGAGGUGCCCCCAUAUGGUGUGACAGCUCAAACCCAGGUCCUCGUGCAUGGCAAGGUGUAUGCUCUGCCAAGUCAGCAAAACAGCUCACCCACAAAGAUGCCUGCUUUGCCGUGCGCUACUUAAGUUUGAGUCCAGCUCCCACUGCACUGGGGGAAGCCUUGGAGAUGUGCUAUCUUUCCCUUUCUCUUGCUAUCUGAAAACGUUAUUUCCCUUACUGCUGCUCUUACUUCAUCUGUGUGACCUCAAAGACACCAGGUUCCAGAUGCCAGCAUGAUGCUGACCAGACUUCCCUGGACAGACGAACCCACCAAUGUGUCCUGGAGCUUCGCUUCCCCAGAGACCCACCCUACUAGGGGAAGAGAGAGGCAGACUGGAAGUAUGGAUCGACCAGUCAGCGCCCAUGUUCAUCAGGGAAGCAAUUACAGAAGCCAGACCUUCCACCUUCUGCAUCCCACAAUAACCUUGGGUCCAUACUCCCAGAGGGAAAAGAAUGGGAAAGGUUAUCAGGGGAGGGGAUGGGAUAUGGAGAUCUGGUGGUGGGAACUGUGUGGAGUUGUACCCAUCCUAUCCUAGUUUUGUU